rnacentral:ncRNA from 1 species
CAAUGUUAAUAGCACACUUAUCGAAAGAUAAGGUCGCAAAGCCAUGGGUCUAAAGGAGUAAUACUCCUAUGAUUGCCAGGUUGCCAAA